UAGUGGCGGACGGGUGAGUAACGCGUGGGUAACCUGCCUUAUACUGGGGGAUAACAGCCAGAAAUGACUGCUAAUACCGCAUAAGCGCACAGAACCGCAUGGUCCGGUGUGAAAAACUCCGGUGGUAUAAGAUGGACCCGCGUUGGAUUAGCUAGUUGGCAGGGCGGCGGCCUACCAAGGCGACGAUCCAUAGCCGGCCUGAGAGGGUGAACGGCCACAUUGGGACUGAGACACGGCCCAGACUCCUACGGGAGGCAGCAGUGGGGAAUAUUGCACAAUGGGGGAAACCCUGAUGCAGCGACGCCGCGUGAAGGAAGAAGUAUCUCGGUAUGUAAACUUCUAUCAGCAGGGAAGAUAAUGACGGUACCUGACUAAGAAG
rnacentral:rRNA from 1 species